UCGAGAAUCAUUCACAAUGGGGGAAACCCUGAUGGUGCGACGCCGCGUGGGGGAAUGAAGGUCUUCGGAUUGUAAACUCUUGUCAUGUGGGAGCAAAUUAAAAAGAUAGUACCACAAGAGGAAGAGACGGCUAACUCUGUGCCAGCAGCCGCGGUAAUACAGAGGUCUCAAGCGUUGUUCGGAAUCACUGGGCGUAAAGCGUGCGUAGGCGGUUUCGUAAGUCGUGUGUGAAAGGCGGGGGCUCAACCCCCGGACUGCACAUGAUACUGCGAGACUAGAGUAAUGGAGGGGGAACCGGAAUUCUCGGUGUAGCAGUGAAAUGCGUAGAUAUCGAGAGGAACACUCGUGGCGAAGGCGGGUUCCUGGACAUUAACUGACGCUGAGGCACGAAGGCCAGGGGAGCGAAAGGG
rnacentral:rRNA from 1 species